UGGGUGGUCGUGCAGUGGGAUGGAUGUGCCGCUCUUGAGCAGGAACACACCGAGGCUGAAGCCGUCCGUCUCGUAGAUGUGCAUGUAGCCUGUAUUUACGUGAGACCACAGAAAGUUCCCGACAGGAUGUUAUUGAUUGCAUUUGCCCAUUUGAGGUGUGAGAUGGGUCUUCCUGCCACAUCACAGGGCAUGCUGUUCCUUUCAAUCCUGCCCGAGAACCAAAUUCCAAAUCUUCUGGACUCUCCCAUGAAAUCGUCACAGGCCAUUGCUGCUCCAUGCAUUCAUUCAGGGACCCUGACUCCUUCCAUCUAGUCUUCUCCACCAGUUCCUCUGCAUCCAGGCAGCCAGUGCGAUGAGAAGAAGGACAUGGUGGGUGGAUUGUGAGAGUGAUCCAAGAGAUGAAGUCUGAAAGUGGUAUAUGCUUCAAAUUUGCCCACAAUCCACCUGUUAAAACUCCAUUUGCUUCACCCAAAAAGGCUAAGCAGUUUUGAAUGUGCCGCCUCUUUGCUAAAGGAAUAAUAGAAGAAACAGAUGUCAAAUGAUUCAGCAGUCUCUGGAGUCAUCUUCAUGACCUUCGAGGACACAUCAACCUGAGAACAGAGCAGGAUUUGGGUGUUUUGACCACAGAUACCAUAGUGAUAGGUCCCAAGGAUAAAGAGCAAAUUCCACUGGAAGUCAGCGUGAAUGGAUGCUGACGGCCAGGGUUGACGUUAUGCGGUACUAGCUAGCAAGGCUCUAGCAGUCGUGUCCAUUGGUGUCUGUUCUGAUUGGUUGGUGCCUGCACUCCAUUGCUCAUUAAAUAUUUUGAAUAUUAAACUUACUGAUGACUUCAAAGCCCCUCCCCUAAUUUGGAUGACCCCAGAAGAGAUAAAGAGAAAGAAAACAGAAGAAAGCAUCCUGGGCAGGUGAUUCUCUCCCAAGGAAACCAGAAUGAACCAGUUACUAAAGUUUGGGUCAAGCUUAAGUUGUCCAGUAUCACUUUGUAAACCAAUGUAAGUUCAUUUACAGGUAAUAAAAGAGAGCUCCAGUUUUUUUAGCAUGUAAAAUCAUAAAUACUGCAGUGUGAGUCACAGUAUUCUGGCUUCACUUCUCACAUCUAGGUGUCAAAUGUACCCCAAAACCUCUGAAGCCAUCAGGCAUUAACCUCAGGAGUGGGGAGUCUAAGGGGAAAGUGUUCUGCAAUUUCAGGGGGUGGGAAGAAGGGUGUAGUGAUGGCGUGUUACCCCAGUGGACUUGGGGGUAGCCGGACAUGGUGGAACUUUACCUUUCUUGUUUGUAGGGAUUGAGAAAAAUCUGUCAACAAACCUCACAACAGAUGAGAAGAUAAAUAUUAUGUUUCUUUCACAUGGGUUAAAAUCAGGAGACCUGAAUUUCAAAUAGGAAAAACAAUAACUGGGAGAAGAGUAAAAAAACAAAAGUGCCAGAAAGGAAACAGACUGAUGUUCAUAGCUUCUCACAGAGUUAAUCAAAGGGGCUUAAAUAUUUUUUAGGAGAGGGUUAUUAGCAUGUUUAGGAAUGACAUUUUUAAAGUUUUAAGAACUAUUUUGAGCCUGUAUUUGAGAGCAGCAGAUAAAUCCAUAGAGGUUUAAGGUAUGGACUUUAUUGAAAAGUAACUUUGCCCCUUAGAAAUGUUUUAUUUGCCUGGAUAGACUAGGAUGGGGUUAUCGGAUGUCUCUGGUUAGGACCCAGGAGACAUGGACAGUCAGUCAAUCCACAGGUAUGUUCAUCAGAUCAAGGAGGAAGCCACACGAGAAAGCAGUGUGGACAUUGUUGGACAUUGGGAUGGGUGAUUAAACAGGGCAGUGGAGGUUAUAAAAAGAAGGAAACAUUUUCAUCAUUCUAUUGGGUUCCGGACGACUUCAAGGUGGGAGGGGGAAAGUGAAGCAGCUGGGGCAGAUGUGGUAAGCAUCCUGGGUCAAUGUCAUACCAGAUUGUCUUGGAAUACGAAUUACCUUUAUUUGAAAUUUAAAACAAUUAUAGAAUUUUUCACUUCAAAUAAUGGAUAACAAAAUAGGUAAGAAAAGGACUGACAUGGGGCAGGGAAAAUGGUCUCAAUGUUUAUUUUUUAUUUUAAGAAUCUAUAUAGCUCAAAAAUUCCACUGGAAGAUGUUACAUUGGACUAAAACAAAGUAUCAUUUAGUGACUAAUUGUGAUAUUUAUCACAAUCUGGAAAGUGUUCAGAGAAUUUGCUGCACUGAAAAGGGGCUUGUAAAAGUUACUGUUCAGUCAGUAGUAUCUCAGGGGCUUGGCGUGAAUGUUAAACUCAGAGGAUCAGGGCCACCUCUAGGCUAUACAGGGCCCUGGGGAAAUAUUUUUUUGCAGAGCCUCAUCUAUAUGACCAAUUUAGUUAAAAAUCAUAAUAGUAAUGGGUCCAUGUGUAGUAUAGUCAUUUGUCAAUGAAGAUUUAGAAUAAUGGGCAAAGGAGUGAUACUAAUGUUCAUUAUGUAGUCAGUGCAUGCGUAGACCCCACGCGGUGUGUAGCAGUCAUCCUUCCUGUUAGGUGCGGGAACCACCUUUUUCCUUUCUUGUAAAAGGCGCACUGUUCCUGGGUAACUUAAUAUCUCCCAUAGGAAAAAAGUAGAAUAUAUGUUAUUUGCAGUACCACAGCUCUUUAGAGUCUGCUUGUAUUGAAGCUUUAUGAAUAGAUUUUCUUACCUCUUCAGCUCUCUAAAAACCAUUUCUUUAGUCCUGGCCAUAUUAUUACUUAUGGUAUUUCAUCCUCCUUGAGGUUCUUCUUAGGAACUUUAUGAAUAUUAUUCUCCUUAUGAAUAUUGGCUUCCAUUGACUCUUAAAGAUUGUUACUGUGCUUCUUUGCUGAUGACUACGAACACAAUUUUUACCCAGAGUAUACAAAAAUAUGGGACCAAUCAUUCAUUUUUGUUCAUGUUAAAUUUAAUG